AUCACAAUCAUUCUAAAACUAAUACAUUAAGAAUGAACUUUUAUUCUAAUUGAAAAUCAAUAAGAAUUUUAAACACUAACCUAUUCAUUUAUACAUCCAGCAAUAUAAGCAACACUAUCAAAUUGGUAGAGACGCUGCCUUUCAUUCCUCUUUUUCAUCUAUCAUGGACAGUUCUUUUAGACACCACAUGCUGGAUUCUCGUUAGAUUCUUUGAAGAAAAAUAGGGUGGAGAGGUUGGAAUGACAAAUCAAAGUGACUAAAUUUAAAAUAUAUAAGCAUGUAUCACGGCGCUGGAAUUGGGAAAAAUGGGGAGACGAGAUGUCACUGAGGUGCAUUAGCAUAAUGCGAAUUUUUUCUACGGUGUUAGGCUACGGCAAUCCCGAGACGAGGUGCAUUAGCAUAAUGUGACUUCUUGAUUGAGUGAUAAAAGAAAUGCUACCUUCUGAUUGGCAAAUGACGGUGAGCCACAGAUCCAGAGAUAAAAAUCCGAGAUAUCAACCCAAUGAAGCUGGCUUAGACUCUGAAAGUCGAGAUUAUGCGCCUGUACGAGUUUCCUAUCAAGUGGAACCCAAGAGAGAUUUACAGCAUGGAGUUGGUGCUUCAAGAUGAAAUGAGGGUGAUCGUAUACACUGUUCCAUCCCGAAGUCAAAUAUGGUGGUAUUUAGGACCUUGAUUCGUGAGCAUGAACUUUAUGCAAUGAAAAAUUUUAUUGUUCAAGCAAUAGGACAAUCUGUGCGAAUAACUAGCCACAAGUAUAAAUUGAGCUUUUAUACCAAGACCUCUGUUAGUUUACUUUCCAGCGACAGUUUUCUGUUUAAUUCUUUUCAAUUUAUCUCCUAUGAGAAGAUUGAGGCAAUGAUUGGUGUGAACAAGAACCAUUUGCUGGGUAAAUCAGGUUACUGAUUAUUUAUUUUGUUCAUUCUUUUAACGUUAGUGUAUCAUGUUGGUUACUUAUUUGGUUAAAUUUGUAUAUAUCUUUAUGAAUCUUUUUGUUUUUUGGGUUGCUUUGUGUCCUCUUUUGUAGACUGUAUGGGUCAUGUUGUAGGAAGAGAGGACGCUACACCAUUGGUUACAAAAUCAAAAGAGGAGAGUAAAUGCAUUAAACUACACUUGGAAGAUCUGGAGUCCAUUUCCUGUUUAUUUUUAAUUCUUUUUUUGGUUUUGUGAUUUACCAUUGAUUUAUCAUUUGGGUGGGCUUUGUUUACAUUGUUUGUUCAUAUAUUUUAUUCCACUUAAAAAAUUAGGGAAAACAUCAUGAAGUGCACCCUCGUUGGUGACUUGGUUGACAAAACCCUUGGCUUAUUUGAUAAAGAUAAUGGUAAGCCUAUUAUCUUGAUGGCACAAAUCUUUAAGCCUAAUUUCUAUCUUAAUGAAAUCAAUGAUCAAAAUAGCCUUUAUGCCUCUUUCCUGUUUUUUAACCCUAAGAUCUUCAAUGUUCUUACAUUCAAAGUAUAGGUGUGUUGAAGAUCCGUAGUCUGUCCUCACUUAACUAGCUCCAUUAUUUCAUUAAUUUCACUAUAAUGUCUUUGUAAUAUUGUUUGCCUAUUUUAUCUAAUGUCCUUUAGGUUAAUAAAGAGAGGUGAUCUAAAGGCUCAGUGUAUUAAUUAUAUACAAAGCCAUCCCAUAAAUUUAGUUAGUGAUGAGUUGCAUGGCGGUUCCUUACAAAUAACUACUAUUGAGGAGGUUUUUGACAAAACUAAUGUAAGCUUUUCUAUUGUUGUUUUUUCAACCAUGACGUACUUUGUUCAUGUGGGUCUACUACUAGCGUUAUUGUGUUUUUUUGUGCAAGAAACUUCAUGUUGGAUACUAGCCACUGUGAUUUUUAUUGAAGUUGGUGGCAAUGAUUGGUAUUAUAAUUCGUGCAAGAGUUGUCCCAGAAAGGUGAAGGAGAAUAAAGGUCGUUAUUUGUGUGGGCAUUGUGGUAAGGUUGGUUUCAAUGCUCUUCUGAGGUAGAGACGUUCCAACUUAAAAGGGCUUAAUACAUUUAAGUUGUUUUGGGGUAUUACUCACUUUUCUAAUAUAUUCCAUAAUACGUUUUUAACAGGUAUGGUCUUCAUGUUAUUGCUGAUGAUGGUACUGUCUGUAUUGGCCUAAUCAUUUGGAACCAAGAGGCCAAACUGGUUGUUGGAAAGUUUGCAAGCAAAGUCAAAGACCUCAGUAUAAUUUUUUAAUAUUUGUGUAGAAAAUGAUUUAGUACCUCAGUGUGCCACUAUUGGUGGGGUGUAUAGUCCAGAUGUUCAGGGCUCUACAACCAAGCCAUCAAAAGGUUGUGCUGAGAAAAGGAAGCUUAAGUAGUUAGUAAACACAGGCUUCGGUUAAUGGGAAAUCCGAGGAAGGAAUUUUCAGCUUAGUUGAAAAUGUUCUUUUUUUAUGUUCUUUUUGUUUUAAUGUCAUCUUUAGUUGUUUUCUGCAUGAGAACCUAUUUGAAAGUUUAUUGUAGAACUCUAUAUAUGUAUGUCAAUUAUAGUUUGAUGCAUCUUCUGUAAACAAAGUUUAUAAAUAGAUAGUUUAUUAGAGAAUGGUUAGUCC